rnacentral:rRNA from 1 species
UACGGAGGGGGCUAGCGUUGUUCGGAAUUACUGGGCGUAAAGCGCACGUAGGCGGCUUUGUAAGUCAGAGGUGAAAUCCCGGAGCUCAACUUCGGAAUUGCCUCCGAUACUGCCGUGCUUGAGGACUGGAGAGGAGAUUGGAAUUCACAGUGGAGCAGUGAAAUGCGUAGAUAUUGUGAGGAACACUAGUGGCGAAGGCGAAUCUCUGGACAGUUCCUGACGCUGAGGCACGAAGGCCAGGGGAGCAAACGGG